rnacentral:rRNA from 1 species
AAGCGUUCAUGACCAGACUUGGGUAGGUUGAUCAUCCGUGGUUCUCCGCGGUGCACUCUGCCUGCCCAGGCCAGCAUCAGUUCGCCCCGGGGGAUAAAGGUUUCGGGAAUGUGGCUCCUCCGGGAGUGUUAUAGCCCGUUGCGUAAUACCCUGGGACGGACU